rnacentral:tRNA from 1 species
GCUUAAGUAUUUUAUUUAAAAUAUUGAUUUGUGGUGUCAAUGAUGCAUAUUUUGUCUUGGGCU